rnacentral:ncRNA from 1 species
GUUUCCCGCCCCCCUGGUGGAGAACGCCCUUAAACUUCCCCCUCGGAACAAGGAGCCGGUAUGUAGGCACGAAAAUCCUGCCCAAAACACCUAGCUUUGCCACACCCACAAGGGAUUUCAGCAGUGAUUAACAUUGAUUAUGAGCGAAAAGCUCGAUUCAGUCAUAGAUAAACAGAGCCGGCCCAUCUGGUGCCAGCCGCCGCGGUUACACCACGUGGCUCAAAUUGAUUUCUAUCGGCGUAAAGCGUGAUUAAAGCUACUCAUAAUUAAGGUUAAAUUGAAACUAAGCUGUGACAUGCUUGUAAUUAAGAAACCCAAGAACGAAAGUCACCUUAAUCAAAUUACUUGAACUCACGACAACUGGGACACAAACUGGGAUUAGAUACCCCACUAUGCUCAGUCGUAAACUUUAAAUUACAUUAUAUCGCCAGGGAACUACUGGCCUAGCCUAAAACCCAAAGGACUUGACGGUACCCUAUAUCCACCUAGAGGAGCCUGUCCUAUAAUCGAUAACCCACGUUCAACCUCACCGCUUCUAGUUUCUCAGCCUGUAUACCUCCGUCGUCAGCUUACCCCGUGAGCGCCUCAUAGUGAGCAUAAUGUCCUCCAACAACACGUCAGGUCAAGGUGCAGCAAAUGGAGCGGGAAGAGAUGGGCUACACUCUCUACCUUAGAACACACGGAAAACUAUCAUGAAAUCUAGUCUGAAGGCGGAUUUAGCAGUAAAAAGAGACCAUUAUACUCAUUUUAAAUUGGCACUAGGGUGUGUACACACCGCCCGUCACCCUCUUCGAAACAACUCACUUAUAAUUUAUAAACCCCCCACACACAAAGAAGAGGCAAGUCGUAACAUGGUAAGUAUACCGGAAGGUGUGCUUGGAAA